GUGGGGAAUAUUGGGCAAUGGGGGCAACCCUGACCCAGCGACGCCGCGUGAGGGAAGAAGGCCUUAGGGUCGUAAACCUCUGUUGUGUGGGAAGAAGGAAGUGACGGUACCACACGAGGAAGUCCCGGCUAACUACGUGCCAGCAGCCGCGGUAAUACGUAGGGGGCGAGCGUUGUCCGGAAUUACUGGGCGUAAAGGGCGCGUAGGCGGUCAUUUAAGUCAGCUGUGAAAUGGUCCGGCUCAACCGGAUCAUGCGGUUGAAACUGGAUGACUGGAGUGCUGGAGAGGCAAGUGGAAUUCCCAGUGUAGCGGUGAAAUGCGUAGAUAUUGGGAAGAACACCGGUGGCGAAGGCGACUUGCUGGCCAGCAACUGACGCUGAGGCGCGAAAGCCAGGGGAGCAAACGGGAUUAGAAACCCCGGUAGUCC
rnacentral:rRNA from 1 species